CAGUCGCCACGGUAAGACAGAGGAUGCAAGCGUUACCCGGAAUGAUUGGGCGUAAAGCGUCUGUAGGUGGCUUUUCAAGUCCGCCGUCAAAUCCCAGGGCUCAACCCUGGACAGGCGGUGGAAACUACCAAGCUAGAGUACGGUAGGGGCAGAUGGAAUUUCCGGUGGAGCGGUGAAAUGCGUUGAGAUCGGAAAGAACACCAACGGCGAUAGCACUCUGCUGGGCCGACACUGACACUGAGAGACGAAAGCUAGGGGAGAAAAUGGGAUUAGAUACCCCAGUAGUCCCUGUCUCUUAUAC
rnacentral:rRNA from 1 species